GGAAGAUCAUACGUCUGUUUUCCAUUAAAGCUUCAUUGAUGUUGCUAGUUAAUGACACACAAAUGCAACGCCUAAUCAUGCAUAGUUUCUUUACAAGUUCCAAAUAAACCUCAACCUCUCCUAAAUACUUACAAUAACACCACCAAAAUUUGAUAAAAUGAAAAGCAGAUCAUUUAAAAUUUCCAGCAAACGCUACCAAACAUCUCUCCAGCCAAGAAAGGAGGAAAAGACCAUUUUCCAUGGAACCACCAAGGCAGCAACUCCCUCACAUUGGCUCCACUGGUAAUUAAUACCAGUCAUUGAAAAGAAAGCAACAAAAGGGUCUGCAUUCAGAAACCUUACUGAUUGAACUCCCCAAAUAGUCACUAACCAAGCAUUAGAAUUUCUAAAAAAAUUAUAAAAUUACUAUAAUUGUUUGUUUGCUUAUCUACUUGGUGAUAAGCAUGUAUGAACAGUCUGGGUUAGGCCCAUCAGUCAAGCAUGGAAUAACUUAGAAAAAA
rnacentral:misc_RNA from 1 species